rnacentral:rRNA from 1 species
UACGUAGGGGGCAAGCGUUGUCCGGAUUUAUUGGGCGUAAAGAGCGUGUAGGCGGCCAUACAGGUCCGUUGUGAAAACUGGAGGCUUAACCUCCAGACGUCGAUGGAAACCGUAUGGCUAGAGUCCGGAAGAGGAGAGUGGAAUUCCUGGUGUAGCGGUGAAAUGCGCAGAUAUCAUUUGGAACGCCAAUGGUGAAAACAGGUAGCUGGGAGUGUGCUGACGCUGAGACACGAAAGCCAGGGGAGCAAACGGG